UGGUGAAGAGGACGACCCGGUACUAGAAGGUGGUCCUGGUGAAGAGGACGACCAGGUACUAGAAGGCGGUCUUGAUGGAGAGGACCACCCGGUACUAGAGGGUGGACCCAAUGAAGAGGAUGGCCCGGUACUAGAAGGUGGACCUGGUGAAGAGGACGACCCAGUACUAGAAGGCGGUCUUGAUGGAGAGGACCACCCGGUACUAGAGGGUGGACCCAAUGAAGAGGAUGGCCCGGUACUAGAAGGUGGACCUGGUGAAGAGGACGACCCGGUACUAGAAGGUGGUCCUGGUGAAGAGGACGACCCGGUGCUAGAAGGCGGUCUUGAUGGAGAGGACCACCCGGUACUAGAGGGUGGACCUGGUGAAGAGGACGACCCGGUACUAGAAGGCGGUCUUGAUGGAGAGGACGACCCGGUACUAGAGGGUGGACCCAAUGAAGAGGAUGGCCCGGUACUAG